rnacentral:tRNA from 1 species
GCAGCGGUGGUUCAGCAGUAGGAUUCUCACUUUCCACGCGAGAGGUCAGGGUUCAAUUCCGGCCGAUGCA